UACGUAGGGUGCGAGCGUUAAUCGGAAUUACUGGGCGUAAAGUGUGCGCAGGCGGCCGCGCAAGUCGAGUGUGAAAUCCCCGAGCUUAACUUGGGAAUUGCGCUCGAAACUACGUGGCUGGAGUGUGGCAGAGGAAGGUGGAAUUCCACGUGUAGCGGUGAAAUGCGUAGAUAUCGAGAGGAACACCUGCGGCGAAGGCGGGUUGCUGGGCUGACACUGACGCUGAUGCGCGAAAGCCAGGGGAGCGAACGGG
rnacentral:rRNA from 1 species